AUUGAACGCUGGCGGCAGGCCUAACACAUGCAAGUCGAACGAUGAUUGAGAGCUUGCUCUCAUGAUUAGUGGCGCACGGGUGAGUAUACCAUAGAUAAUGUACCUCUUAGUUCGGGAUAGCCACUGGAAACGGUGAUUAAUACCGGAUACUCCUUCUUGUCUCAAGGCAAGUCGGGAAAGUUUUUUCGCUAAGAAAUCAGUCUAUGUCCUAUCAGCUAGUUGGUGAGGUAAUGGCUCACCAAGGCAAUGACGGGUAUCUGGUUUGAGAGGAUGAUCAGACACCCUGGAACUGAGACACGGUCCAGACUCCUACGGGAGGCGGCAGUGAGGAAUAUUGCACAAUGGAGGAAACUCUGAUGCAGCAACGCCGCGUGGAGGAUGACGCAUUUCGGUGUGUAAACUCCUUUUAAGAGGGAAGAUAAUGACGGUACCUCUUGAAUAAGCACCGGCUAACUCCGUGCCAGCAGCCGCAGUAA
rnacentral:rRNA from 1 species